UAAUACCCCAGGAGCACAAUGCUCUUGGCAGGGCUGUGUUUCAGAAGAGAUGUUUAACAGCGGCUCUGACCAUUUGUCAUUAAGAGCCUGUGAAACGUCUCGUCAUUAAGUCCAAAAUGGGUGACUCUUCUGCCUCCUUAUUUCCCUAUCCAGUUUCAAUUGGAUACAGUAUUUUCUUGCCUUGAACUAUUGUGUAGUGUUGCUGCAUUGAAGUCCAGUGUGUCUCAUCCUGAAGAUAUUGUACAGUCACAGUGCAAACAUUUAUGUAUACUUAGCUUCCCAGAUAGAAAAGAUAGUUCAGCACUUGCUGAAUAGAAGUAAGAAUGGGGGAGACUCCUUUUCGCCUCGACCAAGUGGAAAAACUCUCACUUAGCCAGGCUUCAACAGGACAAACUUCCAGCUGAGAGGAGAAAACCACAUCACCUGCUACUGACUGCUUAAAAUUAAGAGCUCAAAAACUGAAAUUCCCUUUUACAAGAUCCCUUUUCAGAGCUCUAUACUAGCAGCCUAUCUCUGCACAAUUUAAUGUGAAAAAUUAAGGCAGACUCUUACCAAAUAUAGAAGUAGUGACCA